rnacentral:rRNA from 2 species
ACGGGUGAGUAACGCGUGGGAAUCUACCCAUCUCUACGGAACAACUCCGGGAAACUGGAGCUAAUACCGUAUACGUCCUUCGGGAGAAAGAUUUAUCGGAGAUGGAUGAGCCCGCGUUGGAUUAGCUAGUUGGUGGGGUAAUGGCCUACCAAGGCGACGAUCCAUAGCUGGUCUGAGAGGAUGAUCAGCCACAUUGGGACUGAGACACGGCCCAAACUCCUACGGGAGGCAGCAGUGGGGAAUAUUGGACAAUGGGCGAAAGCCUGAUCCAGCCAUGCCGCGUGAGUGAUGAAGGCCCUAGGGUUGUAAAGCUCUUUCAACGGUGAAGAUAAUGACGGUAACCGUAGAAGAAGCCCCGGCUAACUUCGUGCCAGCAGCCGCGGUAAUACGAAGGGGGCUAGCGUUGUUCGGAAUUACUGGGCGUAAAGCGCACGUAGGCGGAUUGUUAAGUUAGGGGUGAAAUCCCAGGGCUCAACCCUGGAACUGCCUUUAAUACUGGCAAUCUCGAGUCCGAGAGAGGUGAGUGGAAUUCCGAGUGUAGAGGUGAAAUUCGUAGA